UCACUCCAUGCUUAAAAAGGUGUAUUCUAAGCUAGCCAAUCUUUUCUAGUCACCUCUCAAAACCCUUCUUCUAUCUUUGUUUCUGUGUGAUAAAAAUGGUCAUUCUCAUCCCACAAGAUCAUAUUUCACCCCAUGCUUAACACGGUGUAUUCUAAGCUAACUCCUUCUAUUCACCUCUCAAAACCCUUCUUCUCCCUUUGUUUCUGUGUGAUAAAAACAGUCAUUCUCAUCCCACAAGAUCAUAUUUCACCCCAUGCUUAAAAAGGUGUAUUCUAAGCUAGCCAAUCUUUUCUAUUCCCCUCUCAAAACCCUUCUAGCUUUGUUUCUGUGUGAUAAAAACAGUCAUUCUCAUCCCACAAGAUCAUAUGUCACCCCAUGCUUAAAAAGGUGUAUUCUAAGCUAACUCUUUCUAUUUCUCUCUCAAAACCCUUCUUCUACCUUUGUUUCUGUGUGAUAAAAACAGUCAUUCUCAUCCCACAAGAUCAUAUGUCACCCCAUGCUUAAAAAGGUGUAUUCUAAGCUAACUCUUUCUAUUUCUCUCUCAAAACCUUUCUUCUACCUUUGUUUCUGCGUGAUAAAAACAGUCAUUCUCAUCCCGCAAGAUCAUAUUUCACCCCAUGCUUAACAAGGUGUAUUCUAAGCUACCCAACCUUUCCUACUCCUCUUAAAACCUUCCUAGCCUUGUUCUUUAAGUGAUGGAAACUAUGUUAACUUCAGCAUACAAGAACAUAUUUUACACAAUACUUAACAAGGUGUACUCUAAGCUAGCCAACCUUUCCAACUCUUCUCAAAACCCUUCUUCUGGCCUUAAGUGUGGUAAAGGUUAUGUUAUCCUCAGCACAUAAGAUCAUACUUCCCACCAUACUUAAAGACAUAUUCUAAGCUAGCCAACCCUUUCUAGUCACUUCUCAAACACUUUCUUCCAGCCUUGUUUCUGUAAGUAUGGUAAAAAACUAUAUGUCAACUGCAUCAUCUGUAAAUACACUCACAUGGAAGAUGCAACAGGGAUAGACAGCUGUAAUAUCCUCGAGGGAAACACUUGCGGAAGAGUUUGAAAUGAAGAAGUACAAAUAUUAUAAAGUUACCAUAUUAUCCCACCUCCGAUCAUAGUCAUACCAAAUACACAGGAUAGAGUUUGACAGAAAAAAGUCCUAUGGUUGUGGGGCCCAGGUCUGAGGCGUGCAUUCUCAUACUCUGGCAACCUGAUGUCUUACAGCAUUUCUGAUAUCCGGGAUAAUGUAUGAUAGCCUCUGCAUAGGAAACAGUUGUAUCAAUAAUAUGCAGGAAACAAUAACAAAUGAGGAGGGUAUCAGGACACCUCUGCUCCCGAAAUUGACCUAUCUUUCGGCCACUCCAAGCUUGACUCUUUUGAAGGAGCAGUGAGUAGCGGGCUUUUUUUUUUCAUUAUUGUUCCCCUUUUUUUUUGCCCUUGAACUGCUUCCUCUAUUGUAAAAAAAUAUAUAUAUACUGUUAAUUUUGAGUUGAAAAAUAUUACAUCUGUCGCAGUUGGCUGUUUUGUAAAUUUAAAGCCUACUACUUAUGUCAGCGGAAGGCAGUGCCAAGGCUGUUAAAUAGUUAUAAUCAGCAAUCUUAUGAAUUAUCAGAACAGCUGUAUGGAGCACUCCUAAUAUUCUUUAACUAAAAAAUUUAAUAUAAUUGACAACAUUUGUUAUUGUUGCCUGCAACAUAUUUAUGCUACGGUCCUAAGGUCGGCAGUGACUGUAUAUAGACCAUUUAUUUUGGGGGAGCUACUCUUCAAAUACUGCUGCCGUCUAAGGGUUAAAGAUAAUGAUGACUGUUUCUUAACCUGUGGGGAUCAUGUUUCUUAACCCGUUCAACAUGAGGAUGCAUAUACUGCGUCCUUGCAUGCCCCGUACCAUAUCCGAGGACGCACAUAUUGCGUCCUGGCUCGCUUUAGCCAAUAUACAAGUUAUUUUAUCUCUACAUUUAUGCUUACAUCUCAAAAUUAUCAAUUAAUUUAUGUUUCUUUAUGUGCACCAUUUAAUUUUGCAUGUUUUCAUAUAUAAUACAUGAUGAUUAUGUUGAGUUUAUGGCUGAAAACUUGUUAUAUUCGAUAGCGACAUUUGAAAUUUGGCAUGUGCGGCGAUCCUGGAUACGGCACGGGGCGCUGUUUGGGCUGGCCGUAGUCAUGGGGUUAAAUUAUGACUCACGCAAACCAUUUCAUAAUACAUAUCAAUGCAUUUGUGAUCAGUUUAUGCAUCCUCUAUUUUUGGGAGUUUACAUCAUGUCAAAAAUUUGGCCCGUCGCUGCUACACAGUAAAGCCACAAAUUUGGCCCGUCGCUGUUACACAGUAAAGCCACAAAUUUGGCCUGUUACUGCUACACAGUAAAGCCACAAAUUUGGCCCGUCGCUGCUACACAGUAAAGCCACAAAUUUGGCCCGUCGCUGCUACACAGUAAAGCCACAAAUUUGGCCCGUCGCUGUUACACAGUAAAGCCACAAAUUUGGCCUGUUACUGCUACACAGUAAAGCCACAAAUUUGGCCCGUCGCUGCUACACAGUAAAGCCACAAAUUUGGCCCGUCGCUGCUACACAGUAAAGCCACAAAUUUGGCCCGUCGCUGCUACACAGUAAAGCCACAAAUUUGGCCUGUCGCUGCUACACAGUAAAGCCACAAAUUUGGCCCGUCGCUGCUACACAGUAAAGCCACAAAUUUGGCCCGUCGCUGCUACACAGUAAAGCCACAAAUUUGGCCCGUCGCUGCUACACAGUAAAGCCACAAAUUUGGCCCAUCGUUGCUACAUGGUAAAGCCACAAAUUUGGCCCGUCGCUGCUACACGGUAAAGCCACAAAUUUGGCCCAUCGCUGCUACACGGUAAAGCCACAAAUUUGGCCCGUCGCUGCUACCGGGUUAAGCGUAGGCUAUUAUAUAUUAUCCACAGAAAUCAGAUAUGCCUUGAGCCAGAUGCCACCUCAGAUUUGGGAGCCAUGAUUAUAAUAUUUGAACAUCAUCAUAACACCAUAUUUCCAAUCCUGCUCAUAUCAAAUACAUAGGAAGGAGUUUGAAAUAAAAGAAGCACAAGUAUUAUAAAGUUAUCCAAUUCUGAUCAUACCAAACAGUACACAAUUUGACAACACUAUAACCAGAUUGGCGAGACCGUUUUGGCGUUGUCUCCCGCGGAUCCUUUCCUCCCCGACACUCUGCCACACAGUCUCUACACCUAUCUCUUCAUCUCGUGUGAUACCUAUAGCUAACAUACGAGAGGAAGAUAGGUGUUGGGUCUGUGGGGUAGAGCAACGCAAACACGGUCUCGACAAUCUGGCUUCACUAAUCUAAUCUAGGAAGCAAACAUUGAUAGUGGGAAUUCAUGAGUUGACCAAUGUGUGAUAUAUACCUCGGAAGCAGAAAGUUGGUUGGAGGCUGUGAAUUAGUGGACUUUUUUUCUUUUUUUUCUUUGGUUGUCGACCCAGAACUGCUUCCUUACCAUAGAGGAAAAAAAUCUAGUGCAUAAUUGAAAAAGGUCAGCAUAUAUGAAAAGCAAAAUGGUACAUAGGAGUGAGAGUAUUGAGGUCAGAGUUCCCUUUGAAAAACUAACUUCCUUACCAUAGAGAGGAAAAAAAUGUAGAGUGCAUAAUUGAAAAAGGUCAGCAUAUAUGAAAAGAAAAAUGGUACAUAAGUGACAGAAUUAAGGUCAGAGUUCCCUUUGAAAAAAACUAGAUAAAAGAGUUGAUUUAGCUGAGAAUGAAUAGUCGCUUCAAACAAUUUAUGGAAUACUUUGUGGAAUUUGAAGUUUUCCUUGAUUUUAACCUUGAGACAUUUCCCUUAUUUUGGCUUGAUUUUAAGUUUGAUAUUUCCUUUGAUUUUAAGCUUAUUUCCCUUAAUUUUGCCUGGAUUUUAAGCUUAAUAUUUCCCUUAAUUUUAAGCUUGACAUUUGCCUUGAUUUUAAGCUUGAUAUUUUCCUUAAUUUUCCCUUGAUUUUAAGCUUGACAUUUCCCUUAAUUUUGCCUUGAUUUUAAGCCUGACAUUUCCCUUGAUUUUAAGCUUGAUAUUUUCCUUAAUUUUCCCUUGAUUUUAAGCUUGACAUUUCCCUUAAUUUUGCCUUGAUUUUAAGCCUGACAUUUCCCUUGAUUUUAAGCUUGAUAUUUUCCUUAAUUUUCCCUUGAUUUUAAGCUUGACAUUUCCCUUAAUUUUGCCUUGAUUUUAAGCCUGAAAUUUCCCUUGAUUUUAUUUAAACUUGAUAUUUUCCUUAAUUUUCCCUUGAUUUUAAGCUUGACAUUUCCCUUUGAUUUUAAGCUUGACAUUUCCCUUAAUUUUAAGCUUGAUAUUUUCCUUAAUUUUAAGCUUGAAAAAAUUAGAAAAUAAAACUCCACUUAGCCAACAACAAAUAGCCACUUAAGACAACAUACACUUUACGGACCUUCUGACAUUUUCCUUGAUUUUCCUCUCUCGGUAUUUUUCACACUUAACACAAAAAACUUUCCCUUAACAGACACAUCAAAACGGC